AUGGAGGCGUCGCUGACCGCGGCCGCCGCCGCUACCUCGUCGUUUCCGCCGCAAAUCCGUCGCCGAAUCAUCAAAUUCAACCCGCCCGUGCUCCCUAGGCGACCCCAAUUCCGAGACUCCAAGAUCUGGACCGCCAACUUCCGGGGACACCUGGCUGCGGCCUCGGCAUCCACGCCGCCGCCGCCGGGAGGCGGCCUGUACUCGGCGGUGACCUACGAACUGACGCCAGGUAACGUCGACCGCGUCCUCGACGACGUGCGCCCCUACCUCAUCUCCGACGGCGGCGACGUCGCCGUCGUGUCCGUCGAGGACGGCGUCGUCUCCCUUAGGCUUGAAGGGGCGUGCAGCAGUUGUCCAAGCUCGACGACGACGAUGAACAUGGGCAUCGAGCGAGUGCUCAAGGAGAAGUUCGGUGACGCCAUCAAGGACAUCCGCCAGGUGUUCGACGGGGACCAGCAGCCGGAGGAGACAACGCCUGAGGUAGAGGAGCUGCCACCACCAGAGCAAUCUCAAUCUCGUAUUUUUGCCUUGAAAGGCUUGAGAAACAGUGUGAUCUUACAGCGUUCUUGGGAUGGAUGUUGCUUGCAGGCGGUGAACCGGCACCUGGACAUACUGCGGCCGGCGAUCGCGAACUACGGCGGGAGUGUGAAGGUUCUUGCCGUUGACGGCGAGGACUGCCUGGUUAAGUAUGACGGCCCAGAGUCCAUCGGAAGUGGAGUGAAGGCAGCCAUCAAGGAGAAGUUCCCCGACAUCACGAAUGUGGUGUUCACCCAGUGA
rnacentral:rRNA from 1 species